GCCACCACGAGAGGGUGGGACUCAGGCGGACCGCCGGUGACAACCGGAGGAAGGUGGGACGACGUCAAGUCAUCAUGGCCCUUAUGUCCUGGGCUACACACGUGCUACAAUGGCCGGUACAGAGCGCAGCGAGGCCGCGAGGCGGAGCGAAUCGCUUAAAGCCGGUCCCAGUACGGAUUGGAGUCUGCAACCCGACUCCAUGAAGUUGGAAUCGCUAGUAAUCGCGCAUCAGCAUGGCGCGGUGAAUACGUUCCCGGGCCUU
rnacentral:rRNA from 1 species